rnacentral:rRNA from 1 species
UAUGUAGGGUGCAAGCGUUGUCCGGAAUUAUUGGGCGUAAAGAGCUCGUAGGCGGUUCGUCACGUCGGCUGUGAAAACCUGAGGCUCAACCUCAGGCCUGCAGUCGAUACGGGCGGACUCGAGUUCGGCAGGGGAGACUGGAAUUCCUGGUGUAGCGGUGAAAUGCGCAGAUAUCAGGAGGAACACCGGUGGCGAAGGCGGGUCUCUGGGCCGAUACUGACGCUGAGGAGCGAAAGCGUGGGGAGCGAACAGG